GAACCGUUUUAGCUCACUCAAGAUAUCACUCAGGUCUAAGCAUUUAAUUAAUUUAUUUACUCGCUAUUAAUCAUCAAUUUUAUUAAUUUAGCCAAUCAAGCGCUAAAAACACAGCCACCACCCCUCCAAUCCAACCCCACCCCCUUUGGCAGCGAUGUCACAUUUUACUAUCCCCACUUUGACACGUGUCACACUAGACUCUUGACAAGAGUACACUCCCUCCAUCUAUCGUGGCAAACAUCCGUUGACCCCCCCCCCUUCCGGGAGCGGCUGGUCACUUCAAAGUACCCAUUCAACUUAACGCCUCGGGCAACGCUAUUCGUCUAGCACUAGCCAUUAUCAAGGUAUAAUCUCCCUUGAUUUUGGCCGAGCUCCGAUAAUCUCCCCUUCAUAAUCCACCUGGCCACCUGGGCUGAUUUCCUGGGCUUUCAACUCGCGCCUUCGCGCAAUGUCUAUCUCCCGGAAACUCUCGUCACGGUCAAGCGUGGACCCCCAUUGUCAAAGACGUCAGAUAGUCUAGACCACCUCUGCACCUAUCUCCCGCCACUCACCCCCCCCCCCUUUUCUAUCCACGUGUAUAUGGACAAACUUCAUCGUCCGAUCUCAUUCACGCUGGAGAGCCCACAGGGAGCACAUCUAACUCUUGCUUGAGCUCUAGACUAUUUUCAUUCCCUUAUUUCACUUUGGAUUGGUGGUAUGUAACUUAGUAAAGUGCUUGAGAACCAUUUUACUUAGUAAUGUAUAUAUGUAUAUUUGUGCAUUUAUUACUACAUUACUUGUGUAUAUAUUUGUGCAUUCUUAUCAUGGAUAAUGUAAGUAGAUUACUGUAUACUUAUAUUUUAUAUCAUGACUUUUGUGGCUAAAUGUUCAAACCAGCUGGACUAGAGUUUAUUAACAAUUCUUACCAGAUGUAUUUAGCUCUUUAACUAUUAUUAAUUUAACUCUGAUAUAUUAGCGCUCAGCACGAGCCUUCAACGUAGUAUCAUUGAUUAAUUCCUUGGCAGGGAAUUAUCCAAACAUUUAUGUAAACAUGUCUUAUUACUGAGUAUGUAUUUACUUAUGCUCUAUGUUUACUUAUGUGAGAGCAUGGGCGAGUAUCAGACGUUGAUCUCCCCUUCCCCUUUCAUCUCAUUUAUCUAAGCGAUAUAGGUACUUGCUACUCACCGUGAUUGGUGAACGACACUUGUAUUACUUAUCAUAUAUCACUUAUUAUUGUUUGUUAUUUCCCUUUAUGGGAGUCCCCAUUAUUAUUGUUAUCUCCCUUGAUGGGACACUAUAUUCAUUUGUUAGUUCCCUUUGAUAUUUAUGAAACUAGCUUAUAGUUUCUAUACAUCAGUCUGAAGAUGUCCUUCACGGAAAGGCAUCUACCUCCCAGUGUUAUCAUUAUGGCUAAACCGACGCAUACAUCAUAUCGUUGCAGCUUUUAUCUAUAGGCUACAUCCGCCUGAAAUCUUAGCAACCUAAAGCUGAUAGCAGAUUUGCUGGCACCAGAUCUGUAGACAUCAGACCUACUCAUCCUUCAAGAGUCCAAGUAACAACGCUAGCCACAGACUCGUCACUGGCUUAACUGAUUGGUAGACGCAGCUUAGCUCUGCAACCAUACAAGUUGGACUGCACACGGAGCCUGGAUCCACUACGCCAGCCCACUAGCAGACAGCAUCAGUACCAGCCACACCCGUCUCACCAGUGCAGCACAAGGACCAAAAGCUAAGCAACCAGCCUAAUGACACUCAGACCACUUGGUUCUAAUAUCUGAUGAUGAUAGUCCUAUAUAUGUAAAUAAGCUAGAUCCCAUACUAGCAACUGUACAGCAUUUCACCUUUCAUUAUCUUAUUUUGUAUAAUAAACUGUACAUAAGUUUACAUCUAAAUAUAGUAUUUGUUGCCUGCAUUAUAACGCUGUGCUUGUAGUUUAUAUGUGCAAGUAAGGAUUCUCAAACCAUAAAAAUCCCCUAGACACCCAAAACGGCUAAAUCUUAAUCCGACUUGUCACAAUGGCGAGCCUCGUCCGGGAUUUACCCAACUAAUACUGCAAGCACAGCAGGCAACUCCCCAGUAUUUUAACUAUCAUCAUUGUUAGAGUACAAGUCUAUCGAGUGUCAUUUAGAGCUAUUUAAUUUUCUAAUUUUGUAUUGCUGUAAUUGUACUUCAUUUACAGGUUCUUAAGCACCAAACAAAGGUUAAUACCACCUUUCCUGUAACUCUUAAGUAAUUGCUUUCAGCAGCUCCAUCAUCGUCUCCACCUCUUACUCUACCUUCCGCCUUUCCCCUUCAUCACCCACCCUCACAAUCCUAGCACCCCUCACCAUCAUGGCCAGUGGCACACGCUCCAAAGCGGACUCUGACAUGAAACAAAUAAUAGCUGAACUCAGAGAACUCGCGGCCGUCAUGUAUGACGAUGAGGCAGAGCAGAAAGAAUUUGUGAGGGCACAAAUUGAUAAGGAGAUGGAAGAAAGAAGAAAGGAGAAGGAAAGGAGACAUGAAAUAGCUAUGGAAAGAAAGAGAAGGGAAAUAGAAGUAGCCAUAGCCAAAGAGAAGGAAAUACUAGAAAUCAGAGAUAGCUAUAGGCCGCAGAGUUUGGAGCUGAACAGCACAUUCGCAAGACAAGACCAGGAAGCAGAGGAGAGUAAGACCAUGGCUCAUGUCCCAACUGGGCACACUGCCCAAACGGACACAGAAGUUACUGCUAAGGAUGAAACAUUCAUGCCUGAUACCCCUCCUCUCAACAAUACCACGUUGUCUACUCAGCCCGACCCUCCUGCUCAGUCUAAUAGUCUCUGCGAUGCCCCAAUUCAGCCAAUGCCCUCGAGCAAAACCCCACCUAAAAAAGCACCAAUCCAACAACCAGCCACGCACGAAAACUGUAAUCGCCCAGCAUGUAAGCCUCGUCAUAACCAGAACGAAGCCCACCGUGACUGUAACAACAGCACGCGUGGCAACAAACCUAGCCAAGCCUACCAUGACUGCAACAACAGCAUGAGUAGCCGCAAAUCUAACCGCAACCGCCAAAAGCAGCAGGCCCCACAGACCAUUUCAGUAAUGACCUCGGUCCUCAAACCCUCUGUGACUAAUCAGCAAACACAGACUGAUAGAACAGCGGGCGACCCAUACGUCAUAUCAACACUGACUGUGGCCCCUGAACCCACUUCUCUUGGCCUAACGGAAACGGAAGUCCUACCGUUACUUCCUCAACCUGUCUCAUCUCCCCCUGGGAUUGAGACCAUUCUGGUAAAUGGGCGGUACGUCCGAUCCUUAUUUGACACAGGCUGUGCGGUAAGUUCAGUUAUCCGCAAAGCACUGGUUGACCCAGCUGAUCUCACAGAUAGAACUGUGACGAUUCAGUCCAUUGACCGUGAGAUCCCUCCAAAGGUUCUUCCUAUUGCUAGGGUCCACGUAGAGUGCAAGUACGUGCAUGGUACCAUUGAGGCAGUUGUCAUGGAAUCGCCAGUGUAUGACUUCAUUCUAGGCUCCAGGUACAUACCUCUAGGAGUUGUCAAUAAACCAUACUUCUCUCUGCCCGUUGGUAGAACGACAAAGCAGAAAGGUGGCAGCAACCAGCCGGUUGGAAGCCCUGGUCGCCACUCUAACAAAUCCUUUACUGGCUCCUCAGCCAAGCUCAAGCCGCUCCACCCAGGCACUGACACUGCCAGGAAGUCACGAGGUAAGCAUAAUAACUACACUCGUGAGGGUUCGUUUAGCCCCCGCUCCUCAGCAAUCAAACCGCUCAACCCUGACACUGGCACUGCUAGGAAGUCACGAGGUAAGCGAAAUACCUACACUCGUGAGAGUUCUUGUAACUCCCGCUCUUCAGCUAUCAAACCACUAAUGCCUGUCACUGAUCCUGCCAGGAAGUCACAGAGGAAAGUGAACUUUCACUCUCGUGAAAGUGGGCCUCAUCACGGCUCCACCCACACUUUAAGGCCACUCUUCCCUGACAUUGACCGUGUCUGGAAAAUUAGAGGUAAGCCGAUCAAUCGCACUCACGAAGAAACGCCUCACUAUGGCUUUAGAGAUAAGCCCCGUCCAACAUACGCGCAUUGGGCCCUCCGCCAUAACGUCCAUCCCUCUUACUGGUCUGCCCCAAGAAGGAGAUGUACCCAGUCCUAUCUACCCGGCCUAUUUCCCCAGGUUUCCAGAAUUGCCCCUUCCACGUGGCAAUCCGCCUGCGGACAGAACAUAGGCGACAGCGGACCCUUAGGACGGACACCCAUCUGGACCUUGGCAACCUCUUAACUACUGGAAAAAUUUUCUUAAAUGCUACGACCGACAGUAGACGAAACUUGAGUGAUAUCAACGUUAGCACUUUAUAGAUCUUUUAACAAAGACCUAUCUUACGCAGGGAGGGUUGUGACGAACCGUUUUAGCUCACUCAAGAUAUCACUCAGGUCUAAGCAUUUAAUUAAUUUAUUUACUCGCUAUUAAUCAUCAAUUUUAUUAAUUUAGCCAAUCAAGCGCUAAAAACACAGCCACCACCCCUCCAAUCCAACCCCACCCCCUUUGGCAGCGAUGUCACAUUUUACUAUCCCCACUUUGACACGUGUCACACUAGACUCUUGACAAGAGUACACUCCCUCCAUCUAUCGUGGCAAACAUCCGUUGACCCCCCCCCCUUCCGGGAGCGGCUGGUCACUUCAAAGUACCCAUUCAACUUAACGCCUCGGGCAACGCUAUUCGUCUAGCACUAGCCAUUAUCAAGGUAUAAUCUCCCUUGAUUUUGGCCGAGCUCCGAUAAUCUCCCCUUCAUAAUCCACCUGGCCACCUGGGCUGAUUUCCUGGGCUUUCAACUCGCGCCUUCGCGCAAUGUCUAUCUCCCGGAAACUCUCGUCACGGUCAAGCGUGGACCCCCAUUGUCAAAGACGUCAGAUAGUCUAGACCACCUCUGCACCUAUCUCCCGCCACUCACCCCCCCCCUUUUCUAUCCACGUGUAUAUGGACAAACUUCAUCGUCCGAUCUCAUUCACGCUGGAGAGCCCACAGGGAGCACAUCUAACUCUUGCUUGAGCUCUAGACUAUUUUCAUUCCCUUAUUUCACUUUGGAUUGGUGCUUUUAUCUAUAGGCUACAUCCGCCUGAAAUCUUAGCAACCUAAAGCUGAUAGCAGAUUUGCUGGCACCAGAUCUGUAGACAUCAGACCUACUCAUCCUUCAAGAGUCCAAGUAACAACGCUAGCCACAGACUCGUCACUGGCUUAACUGAUUGGUAGACGCAGCUUAGCUCUGCAACCAUACAAGUUGGACUGCACACGGAGCCUGGAUCCACUACGCCAGCCCACUAGCAGACAGCAUCAGUACCAGCCACACCCGUCUCACCAGUGCAGCACAAGGACCAAAAGCUAAGCAACCAGCCUAAUGACACUCAGACCACUUGGUUCUAAUAUCUGAUGAUGAUAGUCCUAUAUAUGUAAAUAAGCUAGAUCCCAUACUAGCAACUGUACAGCAUUUCACCUUUCAUUAUCUUAUUUUGUAUAAUAAACUGUACAUAAGUUUACAUCUAAAUAUAGUAUUUGUUGCCUGCAUUAUAACGCUGUGCUUGUAGUUUAUAUGUGCAAGUAAGGAUUCUCAAACCAUAAAAAUCCCCUAGACACCCAAAACGGCCAAAUCUUAAUCCGACUUGUCA